GACGACAUCUUCCUGAAUCCAAAGCCGGGGCAACCUGGCGCUUUUUGAGGAGUCCGCGGCCUAUCAGCUUGUUGGUGAGGUAACGGCUCACCAAGGCGAUGACGGGUAGCUGGUCUGAGAGGACGACCAGUCACACUGGAACUGAGACACGGUCCAGACACCUACGGGUGGCAGCAGUCGAGAAUUUUUGACAAUGGGGGAAACCCUGAUCGAGCGACGCCGCGUGGAGGAUGAAGGUCUUCGGGUUGUAAACUCCUGUCAUUUGAGAACAAGGUGCACCGGUUAACUGCCGGUGCAUUGAUAGUAUCAGAAGAGGAAGAGACGGCUAACUCUGUGCCAGCAGCCGCGGUAAUACAGAGGUCUCAAGCGUUGUUCGGAUUCAUUGGGCGUAAAGGGUGCGUAGGUGGCGCCAUAAGUCGGGUGUGAAAUCUCGGGGCUUAACUCCGAAACUGCAUUCGAUACUGUGGUGCUUGAGGACUGGAGAGGAGACUGGAAUUCAUGGUGUAGCAGUGAAAUGCGUAGAGAUCAUGAGGAAGACCAGUGGCGAAGGCGGGUCUCUGGACAGUUCCUGACACU
rnacentral:rRNA from 1 species